rnacentral:tRNA from 1 species
CGCGGGAUGGAGCAGCCUGGUAGCUCGUCGGGCUCAUAACCCGAAGGUCGUCGGUUCAAAUCCGGCUCCCGCAACCU